AACGAACGCUGGCGGCAGGCCUAACACAUGCAAGUCGAACGCACCGCAAGGUGAGUGGCGCACGGGUGAGUAACACGUGGGAAUGUACCCUUUGGUUCGGAAUAACGUUUGGAAACGAACGCUAAUACCGGAUGAGCCCUGUGGGGGAAAGAUUUAUCGCCAAAGGAGCAGCCCGCGUCUGAUUAGCUAGUUGGUGGGGUAAAGGCCUACCAAGGCGACGAUCAGUAGCUGGUCUGAGAGGAUGAUCAGCCACACUGGGACUGAGACACGGCCCAGACUCCUACGGGAGGCAGCAGUGGGGAAUAUUGGACAAUGGGCGGAAGCCUGAUCCAGCCAUGCCGCGUGAGUGAUGAAGGCCUUCGGGUUGUAAAGCUCUUUCGCACGCGACGAUGAUGACGGUAGCGUGAGAGAAGCCCCGGCUAACUUCGUGCCAGCAGCCGCGGUAAU
rnacentral:rRNA from 1 species